UACAGAGGGGGCAAGCGUUGUUCGGAAUUACUGGGCGUAAAGGGCGCGUAGGCGGCCUUCUAAGUCGAACGUGAAAUCCCCGGGCUCAACCCGGGAACUGCGUCCGAUACUGGGAGGCUUGAAUCCGGGAGAGGGAUGCGGAAUUCCAGGUGUAGCGGUGAAAUGCGUAGAUAUCUGGAGGAACACCGGUGGCGAAGGCGGCACCCUGGACCGGCAUUGACGCUGAGGCGCGAAAGCCAGGGGAGCAAACGGG
rnacentral:rRNA from 1 species